rnacentral:ncRNA from 1 species
ACGUCGCCCCAUGCGACGCCCCCGGCCCGCGCAAGGCCGGUACAGCGGGGGUGGUGCCGUGUCGGCGCAGCACCACCCCCGCGCU